CGGAAUUACGCGUGCUUACCAUGCAGUCGAGCGGUAAGGCCCUUCGGGGUACACGAGCGGCGAACGGGUGAGUAAAAUGGGUAACCUGCCCUGUACUCUGGGAUAAGCCCGGGAAAUGGGUCUAAUACCGGAUACGACCUCUGAAGGCAUCUUCAGGGGUGGAAAGUUCCGGCGGUAUGGGAUGGACCCGCGCCCUAUCAGCUUGUUGGUGGGGUAAUGGCCUACCAAGGCGACGACGGGUAGCCGGCCUGACAGGGUGACCGGCCACACUGGGACUGAGACACGGCCCAAACUCCUACGGGAGGCACUCCUGGGGAAUAUUGCACAAUGGACUAUUGCCUGAUGCACCAACGCCUCAUGAGGGAUGACCGCCUUCGGGUUGUAAACCUUCUUUCUGUAAGCACCAAUCGCAAGUGACGGUACCUGCUUAACAGUCCCCGGCUAACUACCUGCCGGCAACCACGUGCAUACAGCCGCGUGCGAACGUUGUCCGGAAUUAUUGUCCGGAAUUAUUUCGCAUAAAGAUUGUCUAGGCGGUCUGUCAAACCUGGCGUUUAAACCUGAGGCUUCACCCCAUACUUGCAGACGAUAAAUUCGGACUUGGAAACUGGAAUUCCUACUGUAAUUCCUGAAUGCGCGGAUAUAUGGGCGAAUAUCAGGGGGAAAAGCGGGGGGUUAAGGCCGGUCUUUUCGCCGAUACUGACACUCAUGAGCGAGAGCCUGGGGAGCAUACCCAUUACAUACCCUGCUAAUCCACGGGCGUGAACAGUGUGUGGGAGGUGUGGUGACCUCUGCGUCCUCUGAGACACUAAUAACACCUUAUGCACACUACUUGCGGAGUACUGCCGCUCAACUGAAAUUCACAGGGGUUGCCGGGGCGCCCGAGACACGGGGGAAUAUUUGUUUUAACUCCGAAGAACCCACAUAGCCUUUCCUGGCCUUGGGUGCACU
rnacentral:rRNA from 1 species